rnacentral:rRNA from 1 species
GAGUUGCGAACGGGUGAGUAACGCGUAGGUAACCUGCCUGGUAGCGGGGGAUAACUAUUGGAAACGAUAGCUAAUACCGCAUAAAAUGGAUUAUCGCAUGAUAUUCCAUUGAAAGGUGCAAAUGCAUCACUACCAGAUGGACCUGCGUUGUAUUAGCUAGUUGGUGGGGUAACGGCUCACCAAGGCGACGAUACACAGCCGACCUGAGAGGGUGAUCGGCCACACUGGGACUGAGACACGGCCCAGACUCCUACGGGAGGCAGCAGUAGGGAAUCUUCGGCAAUGGACGGAAGUCUGACCGAGCAACGCCGCGUGAGUGAAGAAGGUUUUCGGAUCGUAAAGCUCUGUUGUAAGAGAAGAACGAGUGUGAGAGUGGAAAGUUCACACUGUGACGGUAUCUUACCAGAAAGGGACGGCUAACUACGUGCCAGCAGCCGCGGUAAUACGUAGGUCCCGAGCGUUGUCCGGAUUUAUUGGGCGUAAAGCGAGCGCAGGCGGUUAGAUAAGUCUGAAGUUAAAGGCUGUGGCUUAACCAUAGUACGCUUUGGAAACUGUUUAACUUGAGUGCAAGAGGGGAGAGUGGAAUUCCAUGUGUAGCGGUGAAAUGCGUAGAUAUAUGGAGGAACACCGGUGGCGAAAGCGG